ensembl:lncRNA
CGAGGAGGGAGGCCUCAGGAGAACCAGCCUCACCUGCGCCUUGAUCUCCAAUUGCUAGUCUCCGAACUUGGCAAGGGGGGAAAAGAAGAGACAAGGCUCUGGUGUUUCCCUGGUAAAUGCAGCACUCAUUCAGAGAGUCAGACUAGCAUCUCUGGAAAAGUCACAGCACAGGUUCAUCCUGAGAAGAGAGUCAGAGCGAUGGCAAAGGAAGAUGGAAGUUUCUUUAACCUGGAACUCCUGUCUGAAGAAAUUCUGCAGGAUGGAAUAGGCGCACAUCAGGCCAUGCUCCCCCUGAGAGGCCUUCACGUUGAAGUUUGGGCCGAAGGGGUGAUGAAGGUGGAUUCUUUACCAACUGAACUCUCAGGGAAGGUUUGAUCUCCUUGGUGUCCAAGGGACUUUCAAGAGUCUUCUCCAGCACCAAGUUUUGAAGGCAUCCAUUCUUUGGCACUCAGCAAAGGUGGUAGGUGUGUGGCUAAGCUUCAGAAAGACUGGACCAUGAGAGGAUCAGCUCGGAGGUGGAAGGAAGUAUCCCUGCAAGACAUUUGAGGACGGGAGCAAUGUAGGAGAAUAAUAAUGUACUGGUGUCUGAGUUCUCAUAUCAUCACGAUGAUGGACCGUAAAGAAUGGAUGCUUUCUAACUGUGGUGCUGGAGAAGACUCCUAAGAGUCCCUUGGACUGUGAGGAAAUCAAACCAGUCAAUCCUAAAGGAAAUCAGCUCUGAAUAUUAAUUUGAAGGGCUAAAGCUGACACUGAAGCUCCAAUAUUUUGGCCACCUGAUGUGAAGAACUGACUCAUUGGAAAAGACCCUGAUGCUGGGAAAGAUUGAGGGGAAGAGGAGAUGGGGCUGACAGAGGAUGAGAUAGUUGGAUGCCAUCACCGACUCAAUGGACAUGAAUUUAAGUAAACUCUGGGAGAUGGUGAAGGACAGGGAAGCCUGAAGUGCUGCAGUCCAUGGGGUCACAAAGAAUCGGACACAACUGAGUGACUGAACAACAGCAUCAUCACGACGGUCAGAGAUAUAAAAGAACUCCAGGUAGUCAAGAAGAACGGGACUUAGUACAGGGGAAUACUUAGCCUUUAGAGAGACAGGAAGUAGUGAGGUCUCCAGGAAGCCACUAGAUGGAAGUACCCCCCAGCACAGAUGGUGGUUGACUGAAGCACCCCUGGGCUGCCAAAGCCCUCACUUGGCCACCCCCUCCCCAGAGGAG